rnacentral:rRNA from 1 species
AGAGUUUGAUCCUGGCUCAGAACGAACGCUUGCGGCGCGCCUAAUACAUGCAAGUCGAACGACGUAGCAAUACGGAGUGGCGCACGGGUGAGAAACGCGUGGGUAAUCUGCCCUUCAGUGUGGAAUAACCAGUCGAAAGAUUGGCUAAUACCGCAUGAGACCACAGUUCCUGAGGGAACAGAGGUUAAAGAUUUAUCGCUGAAGGAUGAGCCUGCGUAAGAUUAGCUAGUUGGUGAGGUAACGGCUCACCAAGGCAAUGAUCUUUAGCUGGUCUGAGAGGAUGAUCAGCCACACUGGAACUGAGACACGGUCCAGACUCCUACGGGAGGCAGCAGUAGGGAAUAUUGCGCAAUGGGGGAAACCCUGACGCAGCGACGCCGCGUGAGUGAUGAAGGCCUUCGGGUCGUAAAGCUCUGUUGAAUGGGACAAAAAAAAUGAUGGUACCAUUCGAGAAAGGAUCGGCUAACUUCGUGCCAGCAGCCGCGGUAAGACGAGGGAUCCUAGCGUUGUUCGGAAUCAUUGGGCGUAAAGCGUGCGUAGGCGGCCUUGUAAGUCAGUUGUGAAAGCCCCGAGCUCAACUCGGGAAGUGCAAUUGAUACUGCUUGGCUUGAGUACUGAAGAGGACAGCAGAAUUCCUGGUGUAGUGGUGAAAUACGUAGAUAUCAGGAGGAAUUCCGGUGGCGAAGGCGGCUGUCUGGUCAUGUACUGACGUUGAGGCACGAAAGCGUGGGGAUCAAACAGGAUUAGAUACCCUGGUAGUCCACGCCGUAAACGAUGAUCACUUGGUGUUGGAGGUAUUG